rnacentral:tRNA from 1 species
GCGCGAGUGGUGGAAUGGUAGACACGCCAGUUUUAGGAGCUGGUGCCGAAAGGCAUGGAGGUUCAAGUCCUCUCUCGCGCACCA